GCGUGAAGGAUGAAGUCCGUUAGGACUGUAAACUUCUUUGCGGGGGAUGAAUUGUCCGUCUUCGGACGGUGACCGUACCCGCGAAUAAGGAUCGGCCAACUACGUGCCAGCAGCCGCGGUAAUACGGAGGGUGCGAGCGUUGUUCGGAAUCACUGGGUUUAAAGGGUGCGUAGGCGGUGAGGUAAGUCAGUUGUGAAAUUCACCGGCUUAACCGGUUGGAGUGCGAUUGAUACUGCUUUACUUGAAUCAGGUUGAGGUGAGCGGAAUGUGGCAUGUAGCGGUGAAAUGCAUAGAUAUGCCAUAGAACACCGAUUGCGAAGGCAGCUUGCUGGGCCUUGAUUGACGCUGAGGCACGAAAGCGUGGGGAGCAAACAGGAUUAGAUACCCUGGUAGUCCACGCCCUAAACGAUGUUUACUUGCUGUUCGGGCUUAGGCUUGAGUGGCGAAGCGAAAGCGAUAAGUAAACCACCUGGGGAGUACGCCGGCAACGGUG
rnacentral:rRNA from 1 species